rnacentral:sRNA from 1 species
ACGUUUUUUUCAUAGAGAUUUAGAUUUAAGGUUAGAAGAAUUGUGGAAGUCGUGAGACUUCCCUUUUUUUCUUCUUAAGUUGUGUUCUUCCCGGCUUUUUGUUUUUGACCGGAGAUAGAACAGCAAAUAGCCCUUUCGUGAGAAAGGGCUUUUUU